rnacentral:tRNA from 1 species
GGGCCAGUGGCUCAGUGGUAUGGACACUGAGUCUGGCUAGCCUGCCAGUGCGCACAUCACCAGGCAGGCUGUAGGUUCGAAUCCUGCCUGACCCU